UAUUACCAGAAACACGAUUGGUGCUUUG
rnacentral:piRNA from 1 species